rnacentral:pre_miRNA from 1 species
AAUCUUUAAUAAGUUGGUAUUAUCCUUGGUUAGAGUUUUAUCUCUCUGAUUGCCUAAGGCGAUAAGUUUGCAGAAUAAGGGCACCUCAUCGAGAUUGGACCAUACAUGUUGCACCUACCAUAGUAAAGUUUGAACCUUGUCAAAAUGUCUAUAUUUCCUUUGAUAGGUGAUUGUGUGCCACACAUGGUCCGAUAUUGACAAGGUGCUCUUGCUCUAUGAACCCAUCGCCUUAGGUAUUUGGACUCUCCUUAAAGUUGGGAAACGAAAACCUGACUAGAGACAAUACCAACCUAUUGAGGAUC